GGGGCGAGUUGGGCAAUCGCGUGCUUAGGUACGAGGAAGGUCCGGACUCCAUAGGACAGAGUAGCGGCUAACAGCCGUCCAUGCCAUAGGCAUGAGGAAUAGGGCCACAGAGACGAGACUGUUGGGCGGGCUUGCUAGUCAGGCACCCCUAUGGCGACUUCCAUAGGGUGUGGGUUUGCACUUGUGCAACCUACGGCGCAGCAGGGUGAAACGCGGUAACCUCUAUUCGGAGCAACAUCAAAUAGGCAUACGCACUGUGUAUACAGCAAAGGGCGGUCCGUCCGAGUAUGCGGGUAGAUGGCAUGAGCUUGUUAGCAAUAAUAAGCCUAGAUGAAUGAUUGCCGGUGAUUUAUCACUUACAGAAUCCGGCCUAUAGACUCGCCCCAAUA
rnacentral:RNase_P_RNA from 1 species